AUUGAACGCUGGCGGCAGGCCUAACACAUGCAAGUCGAACGGUAACAGGAAGAAGCUUGCUUCUUUGCUGACGAGUGGCGGACGGGUGAGUAAUGUCUGGGAAACUGCCUGAUGGAGGGGGAUAACUACUGGAAACGGUAGCUAAUACCGCAUAACGUCGCAAGACCAAAGAGGGGGACCUUCGGGCCUCUUGCCCUCGGAUGUGCCCAGAUGGGAUUAGCUAGUAGGUGGGGUAACGGCUCACCUAGGCGACGCUCCCUAGCUGGUCUGAGAGGAUGACCAGCAAAACUGGAACUGAGACACGGUCCAGACUCCUACGGGAGGCAGCAGUGGGGAAUAUUGCACAAUGGGCGCAAGCCUGAUGCAGCAAUGCCGCGUGUAUGAAGAAGGCCUUCGGGUUGUAAAGUACUUUCAGCGGGGAGGAAGGGAGUAAAGUUAAUACCUUUGCUCAUUGACGUUACCCGCAGAAGAAGCACCGGCUAACUCCGUG
rnacentral:rRNA from 1 species